UGGCAGGUGGAAUGAACUUUGAGAGC
rnacentral:piRNA from 1 species